GACGAACGCUGGCGGCGUGCUUAACACAUGCAAGUCGAACGGAAAGGCCCCUUUGGGGGUACUCGAGUGGCGAACGGGUGAGUAACACGUGAGUAACCUGCCCUCGACUUCGGGAUAACUUCAGGAAACUGGGGCUAAUACCGGAUAGGAAUCCUUGCUGCAUGGUGGGGGUUGGAAAGCUUCGGCGGUUUUGGAUGGACUCGCGCCUUAUCAGCUUGUUGGUGGGGUAGUGGCUUACCAAGGCUUUGACGGGUAGCCGGCCUGAGAGGGCGACCGGCCACAUUGGGAAUAAGAUUAGGCGCAGAAGCCGACGGGAGGAAGCGGUGGGGAAUAUUGGACAAUGGGCGGCAGCCUGAUGGAGCAACGCCGCGGGCGGGAUGACGGCCUUCGGGUUGUAAACCGCUUUCAGCAGGGGCGAAGCUUGUGGUGACGGUACCUUCAGAAGAAGCACCGGCUAACUACGUG
rnacentral:rRNA from 1 species